rnacentral:tRNA from 1 species
GCCCAAGUGGUGGAAUGGUAGACACGUUAGUUUCAGGUACUAAUGACCGUAGGGUUGUGCAAGUUCGAGUCUUGUCUUGGGUA